UACGUAGGGGGCUAGCGUUGUCCGGAUUUAUUGGGCGUAAAGAGCUCGUAGGCGGUGUGUCGCGUCGGCCGUGAAAACCUGCAGCUUAACUGUGGGCUUGCGGUCGAUACGGGCAUCACUGGAGUUCGGCAGGGGAGACUGGAAUUCCUGGUGUAGCGGUGAAAUGCGCAGAUAUCAGGAGGAACACCGGUGGCGAAGGCGGGUCUCUGGGCCGAUACUGACGCUGAGGAGCGAAAGCGUGGGGAGCGAACAGG
rnacentral:rRNA from 1 species